rnacentral:rRNA from 1 species
GACGAACGCUGGCGGCGUGCUUAACACAUGCAAGUCGAGCGCCCCGCAAGGGGAGCGGCAGACGGGUGAGUAACACGUGGGAACGUGCCUUUUGGUUCGGAACAACCCAGGGAAACUUGGGCUAAUACCGGAUAAGCCCUUACGGGGAAAGAUUUAUCGCCAAAAGAUCGGCCCGCGUCUGAUUAGCUAGUUGGUGGGGUAAUGGCCCACCAAGGCUACGAUCAGUAGCUGGUCUGAGAGGAUGAUCAGCCACAUUGGGACUGAGACACGGCCCAAACUCCUACGGGAGGCAGCAGUGGGGAAUAUUGGACAAUGGGGGCAACCCUGAUCCAGCCAUGCCGCGUGAGUGAUGAAGGCCUUAGGGUUGUAAAGCUCUUUUAGCAGGGAAGAUAAUGACGGUACCUGCAGAAAAAGCCCCGGCUAACUUCGUGCCAGCCGCCGCCGUAA